rnacentral:rRNA from 1 species
AUUGAACGCUGGCGGCAGGCCUAACACAUGCAAGUCGAGCGGUAGCACAGGGAGCUUGCUCCUGGGUGACGAGCGGCGGACGGGUGAGUAAUGUCUGGGAAACUGCCUGAUGGAGGGGGAUAACUACUGGAAACGGUAGCUAAUACCGCAUAACGUCGCAAGACCAAAGAGGGGGACCUUCGGGCCUCUUGCCAUCAGAUGUGCCCAGAUGGGAUUAGCUAGUAGGUGGGGUAACGGCUCACCUAGGCGACGAUCCCUAGCUGGUCUGGGAGGAUGACCAGCCACACUGGAACUGAGACACGGUCCAGACUCCUACGGGGGGCAGCAGUGGGGAAUAUUGCACAAUGGGCGCAAGCCUGAUGCAGCCAUGCCGCGUGUAUGAAGAAGGCCUUCGGGUUGUAAAGUACUUUCAGCGGGGAGGAAGGCGAUAAGGUUAAUAACCUUGUCGAUUGACGUUACCCGCAGAAGAAGCACCGGCUAACUCCGUGCCAGCAGCCGCCGUAA